UCGUCUACGAACCACCAAGAAAGAGACCCAUAAAUUGUAACAAAAUAGUGACGCACCGAUAGUGGCGGCGAUAACAAAGUAGAGAUAAUAAGAAAGGGACCCAAAAGAUAAUGAGUCAAAAUCAGGUAGAAUAUAUUGUACAUUCAUUUAUAUAUACGGCUUAGCAUUAGUAAUAAAGUUAGUUCUAGACCACAGUUCUACAGUGUAUGUUUUCUACAUCCGAAAAAUCCGUAAGUCACCGGCGUCACAAAAGUAGUUUUGUUCUAGCGUAUUUUUUAGUUAUAUCUUCUAGACAAAUGACCUUUAUGUGGUGAGAUAUUUUUUGGAUUGACAACCUUAUUUAUUCUGCGCGGUUUAAACUGGCAGUCGACAGUGAUCCGUCAAAAUCGAAAAUUAGAAAUACAGCAAAAAAAAGUUCACUCCCAAACGUUUGUGCUAAAGGCUAUAAGGAGACAGCAUGUAACAUAUCGCUCCCGGUGAUUGUCCUGGUGCUAGUCUGCUGACCGUGAACGACCCGAAAACCCAUCUCAUUCGCGACAUCUGUCUGGAGAAAGGACAUGGAAGGUGUUCCCGUGACGGAUUGACAAGUUAGAUUCGCGCAACAUCAUG